UCCCUGAUACUCCAGUGCUUAGGAAUCUGCCUGCUGAUGCAGGGGGCACAGGUUCGAUCCCUGGUCAGGGAA
rnacentral:tRNA from 1 species